rnacentral:rRNA from 1 species
AGUUUGAUCCUGGCUCAGGAUGAACGCUGGCGGCGUGCCUAAUACAUGCAAGUCGAGCGAGAAUCAGCUGAUCGGAGAUUCGUCGAAGUGAAGCUGAGGAAAGCGGCGGACGGGUGAGUAACGCGUAGGCAACCUGCCCUUAGCAGAGGGAUAGCCAUUGGAAACGAUGAUUAAAACCUCAUAAUGCUGUUGAAACACAUGUUUCGGCAGCCAAAGAUUUUAUCGGCUAAAGGAUGGGCCUGCGUCUGAUUAACUAGUUGGUGAGGUAACGGCUCACCAAGGUGACGAUCAGUAGCCGACCUGAGAGGGUGAUCGGCCACAUUGGAACUGAGACACGGUCCAAACUUCUACGGAAGGCAGCAGUAAGGAAUCUUGCACAAGUACGGGGGAAACCCUGAAUGCAGCAACGCCGCGUGAACGAUGAAGGCCUUAGGGUUGUAAAGUUCUGAUCUGUGGGAAGAAGAAGUGACGGUACCACAGGAGAAACGCCCCGGCUAAAUACGUGCCAGCCGCCGC